rnacentral:lncRNA from 1 species
GAGAGAGAGAGACCAUUGAAUGUUGUUGUUGUAUGUAAGCUGUGCUUAAGGAUGGUCACCUGGGAUUGGUAACCAAGCAAAUGUCUCAGGAGAAAACUGAUUCUCCCUCUCUCAGCAGUCAUUGAUUAUCUGUAGCUCUUCAUCAAAGAGAGGGGCUUUGUGAGAAUUCCUGUUUGCACUGGCAAGGCAAUAUUGAAGUCAUAGUGCAGGUCUUGAUUUAGGAAACCAUUGGGUUGCUAUUUCAUUGGGGCAACUCCCGUCUUGUUUAGAAGACACCAUCUCUCAGCAGAUAUCCUUAUCUUCUGGCUCUUUCCACAAACUUUCCAACUCUUUUUUCAUAGUAUUGCAUGAACUGUUAAGUGCAAGGACUAUAUUUUAGGUAUAUCAACUGGAGCUAGGCGCUCCAUGGUUAUUUAUUCUCUGUAUUUCGAUGAAUUUUGGAUCUCUGUAGUAGCCUCUUUAUUCUGUAAAAAGAAGCUUCUUUGAUGAGAGUUGAGAGCUGCACUUAUCUUUAUGUGUACGGAGAAGGAUGUAGAUUGCACUCAGAAAUUAUACUGGUCUACAAAAGUGACAGCAGUAGGUUUUCAUCUAGAGUCCAGAGUCUGUGUCUGUACCAGUCACACAUAGUUGGCUAGGUAGAUAGUACCUCAUAUUUAGCAGGCCUUUCAUCCAAUUAAACAGCUAUUGGUUGCCUCCAAGAUAAAAGUAUCUCUAGUGCACACCAUUGGGGACACCUUGGCAACCAGUCACUCUUGUGUUUGCAAGCUUUACAGCUCAGUAGGAAUUUGAUUGGUUUUUGCCCACAGUAAUUUGCAUAAUGCCUUCUAAAGAUUUGAAAGUUGUCCAAUACUCUGAUAGUUAAAGCCUCAGGAAUGAGACUUCCAGGUCAGAUCCUUCUCAGUUCCCCCAAGUCCUAUGUCUGAUGUGUGCUGACUUCAGUCAUAGAGUGCUACCAUCAGGCUCUGAGAGGCAAUGAAGUGCAGUAGCAAUAGUAAUAACCUACACUGUUGUGGAAAUCUCUCGGACCCUGCUGACCAGCAGCAUGAAGGGAGGUUUGUCUUGUGUAGCAAGUGAUAUUCUGUUAUGAAAGUCAUGAUAGAAUAAAGUUCGAUUCUUUGAAUGGACGAUGAAUCCUAAAGAUAAGUUACUUGGUAAAUAACUGAAUAAGACUGUUCUUAACAUAGAAUAUUAACUAAGUUUUGAAUCUCAUUCAUUGGUAUAUUUGUGUGUUCGUGUAGACAUGUGUUAUAUUAGUUGAAUCUACUAGAUCAUGCAAAUUGUAGAUUGGUAAAGCCUUUCUAUAUUAGAAAAACUCUAGGGUAAUCUAGUUUGUUCAGUAGUUUGUCAAGACCCUACUUCCUAGACACAUGAUUAUUCUGAGUUCUUUUAGAGGAGCCACGUGAACAGAAAGAAAGAAAUAAGACAAAGUGGCUUCUGCAGAGAGCCUAAUAAUCCAAUGGGUAGGAACAAGACAUAAGUAAGUCUUCAAAUACAUU